rnacentral:rRNA from 1 species
UGGGGAAUUUUGGACAAUGGGGGAAACCCUGAUCCAGCCAUCCCGCGUGUGCGAUGAAGGCCUUCGGGUUGUAAAGCACUUUUGGCAGGAAAGAAACGUCAUGGGUUAAUACCCCGUGAAACUGACGGUACCUGCAGAAUAAGCACCGGCUAACUACGUGCCAGCAGCCGCGGUAAUACGUAGGGUGCAAGCGUUAAUCGGAAUUACUGGGCGUAAAGCGUGCGCAGGCGGUUCGGAAAGAAAGAUGUGAAAUCCCAGAGCUCAACUUUGGAACUGCAUUUAUAACUACCGGGCUAGAGUGUGUCAGAGGGAGGUGGAAUUCCGCGUGUAGCAGUGAAAUGCGUAGAUAUGCGGAGGAACACCGAUGGCGAAGGCAGCCUCCUGGGAUAACACUGACGCUCAUGCACGAAAGCGUUGGGAGCAAACAGG